UUUUGCUUGAGUCUAUGGCAUCAGUCAGCUGAUAAGGGCAUUUCUGCAGAAAACAGAAUGUCAUUGUCAACUUCUAAAUCUCGGGACUGGGAUGGAGACCACCUUCUGGAGAUUAAAGAUGUUCAUGCAGUUGAUCCCAAGGAAAACCCUGGGUGGCCAAGGGGUAGAAGGAAGAGCUGAAGUCCUCCAGCACCAUGGAAUCUGGCAAUGCACUGUGGACUGAAGCCUCCACCUCCACCUGCAGAGUGUCCCAAAUCAGCAUCAUCAGCCUUGGAGUUUCCGUUGUGGCAAUGGUUGUAUGGUUUCAAGUCUCCUGGUGUAAGUCAAGUGGGAAUUGAUCCCUUCACUGUACCACAGGGGUCCCCCAUAUGUUUUCCCCAUAAUCCUGAGGAUCAGGAUCUUGUGCCAAACAGAUUAGGCAAUGGGGUGGUCAGUGGAAAGGCACAAGACCCACAGCCUAGUCGUUGAUGAAGCAAAACCAUCUUCUGCUACAGCCCUACCUUCUCUCAGUAAGCCUCCUUUGCACCCACAAAGACUGUUUCCCUUCCCCCCUUUUCCCUCUCUACAGAUUUCCUCAGGAUAGAUUUUCAUUUCUAACCACACAAAGCCAUGAGAUUUUGUUUCUGUCCCCAUCUAAUCACAUGGUGCACAUGUUCUGCAUGUUUAUGGGGGAAAGGGAGCUGGUUUGGUCAGCCCACAGAUGGCCAUCCUCUUCUUGUGGGAAUGCCAGUCCAUCUCCCAGUGUUCGAGUCCACAGCCAGGAAAAUCAUUCUGUCUAUGGCCAGAGUCAGAGCCUCAAGCCCCUGAAUCACAAGAUUAGUCUAUCGACGAGCUGGGGAGCAACAACACUACGAGAAA